UACGUAGGGUGCAAGCGUUAAUCGGAAUUACUGGGCGUAAAGCGUGCGCAGGCGGUUAUGCAAGACAGAUGUGAAAUCCCCGGGCUCAACCUGGGAACUGCAUUUGUGACUGCAUAGCUAGAGUGCGGCAGAGGGAGAUGGAAUUCCGCGUGUAGCAGUGAAAUGCGUAGAUAUGCGGAGGAACACCGAUGGCGAAGGCAAUCUCCUGGGCCUGCACUGACGCUCAUGCACGAAAGGCGUGGGGAGCAAACAGG
rnacentral:rRNA from 1 species